GGCGAGAUGGCCGAGUGGUCUAAGGCGCUAGAAUCAGGUCGUCCACCAAUCUAGUCCUCCGGGGCGGGGGUUCGAAUCCCCCUCUCGUCA